rnacentral:lncRNA from 1 species
AAAGGGACGAAAACCCGAUCAUAUAUUGGGAUAGUGAUGACAAUGGUCAAUCCAAUAAAAACUUGGAGUGUUGCAGCUGGUAUCUCAAAGCCUGAGACAAUGGUUCUGUCCAUUGUGGCUCCUUGCUUCGUAAAGAAGGUUGAGGUUUGUGCAAAGACAAUGGCAAAGAGCAGACAUGUCAGCCAUAUUGGAACAAGCCGUAGUAUGGACUUCGCUUCUUCAACAUCGUCAACAUUAGGUUGGUUUUCUUUCGAGUCAUCUGUUAUUAUCAAAGGUUUGUUUAGAAACCUGCAAGAUUGAGAGAUCUAACUGAGUCUCGAUUAUGUAGGCAUCAGUGACCUAAAGCUAAUACAAGUAAUGAAAAAAAAGAUAUUUGCACGUAGCAUUAGUCCCUAGUUUAGUCACUGCAUUGUCAAAGGCAAACAGAAUUUAGUUGGAUAACUGGUCGGUCGAGCUUUCUAAGAUGAAUAUUAAUAUCGUUCAGUGAACCUACCACUUUUUAAAUCUUUGAACCUUGAGCUUAGAAGACGCUGCAAUUUUUGCUACCAGGAGAUGCAAGGAACCAGCAAGGGAGGAGAAAAAAAGAAAGAAAGGCAUCAAUGAAUUUCUUACUUGAAUUGCUUGUAAUUCUCUGGAGGCAAUUUUACAGCUUCCUCUUCAUUAGGCAACAAUGGAGCAUUCUUCCACCAAUUUUUAGCUGCAGCAACAUAAACACGACCAAAUCUUACAAAUGGGCUGCUUCCAUUACUUCGGUCGCUGAAUCUGUAAGUCCUCGUUCCCAUCAAGAAAAUGACCAAAGCGACCACCAUUAUAAUACAGGGAAUUCCAAAUCCAAGACUCCAGUUGAGGUUGUCCUGAAUGUAAACUAAGACCACAAGUGUCACCACGACUCCUGCACAUAAGCCAAAAUACCACCAAUUGAAGAAGGAGCUUUUAGCUUUGCUCUCCACUGGGUCUUGUUUGUCGAACUGAUCUGCCCCGAAAGCUUGAACACACGGUUUAUGGCCAGCUUGUCCAAUUGCCACCAUAUAGAGAGAGAAGAAAAACAAGAUGACAUGGAGUUUAGAGGACGAACAGGAUGUUAUCUUAGUGGUGUUUUGGCAUUCAGAUGUGCCAAGAGAAAUGAGGACAGCUGAUAGAGUCAGUAAAGCAAGUCCCUGCCACAAAUUUCGUAACAAUUCAGUCCACUACCAUUUAAACAUGAAAGUAUAUGUGAGAAUAAAAGAUUAAACAUGUAUCUGCAAGCAUUGACUACAAAGGGCCAUCGUCACUUUAUGAAAUCUGGGGUUCUAAAUCUUCUUUAAACAUCAGCCACCUCAAAAAGAAUUGCAACUAAGAAAUGUGAUGCAAGGCUAGUUUCAGUAACUCAAGCAGGUUUCCAGCAAUGUGCUCAACUGGGACCGAACUCCCUCUAUCAAGCAGUAUCUGAACACAGUUGAGUUCCUGCAGUUGUCUCCUAAACCCUCUUCCCCACUCUUUCCUUCCAUUUCUAGGUGGAGUUUGUGUCCUUAAUGCAGUUGUCAAGAAAGAACUUCUGAGUGACUUCCCCUUUUCCUUCCUUUCUAUUCUUUAAAACGCACGCCCACAAAAGAAAAGGUACUUCUUCUCUGCAGUUCAUAGUCUCAGCAGAAUGAACCGCGCCUGCCUGCUUGUUAAGUUUGAAGCACUCUUCCAAUAGUAUUCUCUCGUGUUCUAAGAAGAAAAUUUCAUUCAGUCAAUUGCUUUUCAUAAAAAUUGUUAGGAUGUUUUUCGUUUCAAUUUCAAGAAACGCUGUUAUUGCUGCCAAAGAGAAAGGGUUAAUUGCACGGUUAUAUAAACAACCAUAUUUCAGCUACAUUCACCUAAUUGCUCUUUUAAUUUCAACAAACUCCAAAAUGACAAUAGACGUCAAUAUUGAUUUGAUGAUCAGGAUAAGGUUUGAGUAAACGUGGAACGUACCAAAAUAUAGAGAAGCGAAGCAAUGAUUAUGGUACGGUAACGUCCCAGGUAAGAAUCAGCGACGAAGGCGCCGACGAGAGGCAACAGAGACGCCGCCCCCGACCACGCAUUGACGUUCUCCGCCGCCGUCGCCGUCGACUCCCCCAGUGGCCCCGUCAAGUAGCUAAUCAGGUUUGCCGAUAUCCCAUAAUACGCAAAUCGCUCGGCAACCUCCACGCCUGGCAAUCAGCAACACGGCAUCAAAAGACUCGAACUUGACCAACACCCACGCGGCGAAAUCACGCCUUUCGCGCGGAUCAGGGCAACAAGACUCCUUUAAACUCUUUACCGAUGAUGAAGGACGCGGAUCUCCACCCGCCGGAGCAGGAUCUGCGCGCCGGGCGACCCUUGGAGUCGACGGCGCCGCCCACGAUGUCGCCGCCGCCGAGGAGUGGGUGCUCCUUCUCCGGCGAGCCCGCGCCGGAAGAACCGGGUGGGUCCAUCUGGGUCGCUUCCGCAGAGAGGAUUCUUGAUUUCUUGGCAACUGCUCUGCUCGUCUCCGCCCGGGUCCGAACGACUAUCAUUCUUUAUUAGCAUGCUAAUCAUGCUGUUCGUUGAUGUGGGAAAACAAUAAACAAGUCUACAGUGCGGGCUCGUCUUCGUCUGCAGGUUUGGAAUGCGAAAGAGCGGCGCCGGGGAGCGUGCCUCAAUGUCAGCAGGCUCUGAAUUCAGGAAGAAAAACAGGGGAUGCGUCGCUCUCCACCUUGGACGGGCACGCCAUUCCCGGGCCAUUCCUUUCCUGAAUCGGGAUUUCCGUCCGCGCCCGGCUCGAACGCAAGAUUCAUGAAGAUGGAAAUGAGAUCAACAAAGGUGACGGAACCCCAUCGAUUGAUUCGGAUUCAAGCAAAAGCGUUUUCCCUCGCUGGCGCUGCUGCCAUUUUCAAGAUGACUCCAAUUUUUGUUUUCGCCAAUAUAACUAUAGAAAUAAUCUUAUUAUAUCGCUCCAGAUAACUAAUUGGUAAAAGAUAUUUUUAUUACUAAUAAUAAUUUUUAUUUAAGCACUUUUAUAGAUAACGGAUAUAUUUUCCGUUUUUUCAUGAAUGACACUAAUUAUCGUUUUCCGGAUUCUUUAUUUUUUGCCCAACAAACACAUUGAUAGAAACUCCAAACUAGCCUACAUUAAUUCUGGUUCCUAUUUCUAGUUUCAUAAUUUAAUUUAGGACUAAGGUUAGUUUCUCGAUUAUGUAUUCAAACCAUGCUACAAUCAUUUUUCCACGUCAAUUUUAAAUGUCAAAAAUAAAGCAGACGCCACCUUACCUACCAUGAUGUCAAGAUCAAUAUAUAUUGCGAGGACAUAAUUUCUACGAAAGAUCAAAUAAUUAAUUAAAUAGUGAUUUGAGAGGCACAUUAACGCAAUAGUUUGUGCAUCUGGUUGCUAAUGAAUCACAAUAAGCUUCGAUAGAGGUUGAGUAUAAUUGUAUAUACAUUUUCAUUAGAAAAGUUUACUUAAAACAUCACGAAUUUUUUUGGGUAGCUACGUCACGAAAUUCAUUCUAUCGAAAUUUGACUUUUUUGUUCUCUCCAAUCUAAAUUGGCAAUUUCCUUGAAUUUCACGCACAUUCACUUUGCAUCCUCCAUUAUGUAAUUUUUUUUUCAAACAAAUAGCUACUAUAAUAAAAUUAUGGCACCAUUUUUCAACAAGACGUCAAUUUCAAAUGAAAAGAACAAAACGAAAGCCAUCUUACCUACUGUGAUGUCAAGAUCAAUCAACAUGUAUUCUUUUGCAUGGAAAUAAUUUAUAAAAAAGAUUGGACAAUUUAUUGAGUAGUGAUUUGAGGGACAGAUCAAUAUAAUAAAUUGCACAUCUAAUUGCUGAUGAAUCAUAAUAAACUUUGAUAGAGGUUGAGUAUAAUUAUAUGUACAUAUUCAUUAGAAACUUAAAACAUCACAAUUUUUUUUUUUUGGUCAACUAACAUCAUGAGGUUGAUUCCAUCAAAAUUUGACUUUUUUGUCUCUCCAAUCUAAAUUGGCAAGUCCCUCAACUUUCACACACAUUCACUUUGCAUCCUCAAAAUUUAGAAUCUCUAACAUACAAUUCGUGCCUAAAAUCCAUAAUUCGAAUGAUCAAAAGUACCAUCUCUAUGUUAAACACCAAAACCUUCAUUUUUCAUAUCACCACAAAAUCAUAUAGACCCAAAAGUCAUGACAUGGGCGUUUUGCCUAUCAUUGUGCAUACGUGGUAAUUAAGAAGCAAAUCGGUUAAUGCUUUGACCGGAGCCGGCGCAAAAUGUAAAUAUGACCAUUCAAACCUAGACUUUUCAAAUAUGGAAAACGAAAGCUCUAACCCAUCUGACCAAAUCCUGGAGGAUUCCAGUACUGCUAUCUUAUAUCUUUUUGUCCCAAUAUAUCGAAAAGAACACCACACAAAUCGUUAAUACCGGGUUCUUCUUAACUAAGGAAGUCUGAUGCCACUACUACACGAUUCUCCUCACAUCUUCAUCUAGCUUAUUUCCAUUUUAACCGGGUGUCGUAUUGCAUUGGGAUCCUUUCGCGCAUUCGAUCUUGAUGGUCUUCCCUAAAUUUUUAAGUACCAUCUCCUAAUUUUUAUUGGUACAGAACAGAAUUUGUAAUGUUUGAAUUGCAUCUCAGCUCCCUCUUUCGCUUAACGCGCGCGAGCGAACCGUGAAAAGUUUCCAGACUGGGCAAUGCGCGGUGACUGUCUGAACAGAGCGAGAAUUCCGCAAUGGAAAAUGACCAGUUUUGAUUUGGACUUUGCAGACAGAGAGAGAGAGAGAGAGAGGAGAGCAGAGAGAUUCGAAGUAAAAAAAUUCAAGAACGGUGGAGUUUGCAUUUGACAUCCAAUCAAUGGAAAAGAGAGAAGCGAAAUAGAACAAGGAAGAGGUGCUUGUUCAAAGGGCAAUCUCGCUUUUUUCGUGGUUACCACGCUGUUGAUUAGCAAUUUCGUUAUCAGGAACACAAGUCAAAAUUCCAUGGCCAAACGGAGCAAUAUCGAAAGACCCAGAAAAGAAAAUGAAAGAAAGAAAAUCCCCACCGAAUCGAAUCCCAUCUACCAAUCAAACUCAAGCGAGGAGAGGACUCCGACAACUCUCAAGAAACCCAACAUCCCCGCCGUUGCUGUCGCCGUCGCCGUCCUCCUCGCAGAUUAGAAAGCUCCAGACAAAUGCACAGCACCAGUGCAGCUUUUCUGCAGAUUUCACUACCCCAAUUCCCUAGUAGAAAAAAAGGUCCAUUAAAUAAAGUCCUACGGCUCAGACAACCCGCCUGACAUCGGGUGGAUCCUGCGUGAGCCGACAUGAUGCGGCAGUCGACAUGCAUUUCGCUCACUUUCUCGGGCGAACCAGCCUGAUGUUCUGCUAAUACAACUUCCCGAAACUCAUGCCUGGAAGCCACUCUUAUAGAAUAACAGAGAAUCUCAAAUUAUGAAUACAACUCGACUUCAUAUUCGCAUGAUUUUUCUUCAGGAUCGCACCAACCAUUGCUCUGAAGAAAAUAAUGUAUGAUUGAAACUACACUGAGGUGGCUGAAAAUUCGAGAGGAAAAGAAGAAAGAGGAGCAAAACUUUCUGAUCUAUCUAGUACGAUUUCAAUCACUGUGUACAGAUCAUCAGCUUGCCCUCCACCGAUAUAUGUAGGCCAUCGCGCAACAGGAAAAUAAGGCUAAUCCAACUGCACCCAACCCAGCGAGUAGCCAAUAGAAGUAAUCGAGAUGUGCCUUGUUAAGAUUAUUUGAAAACCAACUGUCAGUACCGGUCGCUGCUUCAAUGAUCGAGAUAAGGAUGCUGCUUAGAAUGCUCCCUACGCCGAUAACACCAAGGAAAAGAGACAUCCCAACGCUCCUUAAUUCGGAGGGGACCUGAUCAUAGAAGAACUCUUGCAGACCAACCGUGGUCAAAACUUCAGCGAGCCCGAAAAGUCCGUAUUGGGGAACCAACAACCACACACUCAUUGGAAUUGUGGCAUUCGGUAUAUCCACCAGCCCGUAUUCUUGGGCAAUUUCCAGUCUUUUCGUUUCAACUAGGGCUGCAGUGACCAUAGCAAGAAUGGAGAAGAACAUCCCAGCCCCUAUUCUUUGCAGUGUUGUGAUUCCAGAGGGUUUGUUGGUUAAACUUCUCGCAAAAGGGACGAAAACCCGAUCAUAUAUCGGGAUAGUGAUGACAAUGGCGAGUGCAAUAAACACUUGGAGUGAUGCAGCUGGUAUUUCAAAGCCUGGGACAAUGGUUCUGUCCAUCGUGGCUCCUUGCUUCGUAAAGAAGGUUGAGGUUUGUGCAUAGACAAUGGCAACUGGCAGACUUGUCAGCCAUAUUGGAACAAGCCGUAGCAUGGACUUCGCAUCUUCAACAUCGUUGACAUUAGUUUGGUUUUCUUUCGAGUCAUCUGUUAUUAUCAAAGCUUUGUUUAGAAACCUGCAAGAUUGAGAUAUCUAUUUGAGUAUCAAAUACGUAGGCAUCAAGUGACCUGAAGCUAAUAUAAGUAAUGAAAAAGAAAAAAAAUGAUAUGUGCAUGUAGCAUUAGUUCCUAGUUUAGUCACUGCUUUAUCAAAGGCAAACAGGAUUUAGUUGGAUAACUGGUCAGUCGAGCCGGCUAAGACUAAUAUUUACAUGUGCAUUGAACCUGCCACCAUUUACAUUGUUGAACCUUGAGCUUAGAAAACGCUGCAAUUUGUGCUACCAGGAUAUGCAGAGAACU